UUGAAAGGGAAACGAUUGAAGUCAGUCGUACCUGUGGGUAAUCAGCCUUUUGGGUGUGAUUUUGUGGAGUGUGAGGAGUUAAACGCCUUCAUGCCUGCAUAUUCGUGCACUUUGGGUGUAUUUACCCGUGUGGUAAGUUAACAUCAAUUUCGGUGGUCAUAAAAUGGCUGGAGGAAUGUAGCUUCGAUCUUGUAUUGAAGUGUUAUAGCCUUCGGUAGAUGUGAUAAUCGGGAUUGAGGAUUGCAACGGAUACCCCUCGGGGCUACCUGUCUGAUCUCUGAUCGUUGCUCUGGUGCCGAAAGCUUGCUUACGGUUAUCAAAGUCGAUGGUCAAUAGGUUAGAACGGGUUAAAUUCGUUAAGGAUGUUGACGUA
rnacentral:rRNA from 1 species